rnacentral:misc_RNA from 1 species
GGCAGCGUCAGAUGUGUAUAAGAGACAGGUGAAUCAUCGAAUCUUUGAACGCACAUUGCGCCCGCUAGUAUCCUGGCGGGCAUGCCUGUUCGAGCGUCAUUUCAACCUUCAGGACCUCCUGGUGUUGGGGCGUUAGGGGAACCUAAGCCCUCAAAGUCAGUGGCGGGCUCUGUCACACACCGAGCGUAGUAAUCUCUCGCUUAGGGGUGUGCCGGGGCGCGGCCUACUUACACUUUUAUCAAGUUGACCUCGGAUCAGGUAGGAAUACCCGCUGAACUUAAGCAUAUCAAUAAGCGGAGG